rnacentral:rRNA from 1 species
GGACGGGAUCCAUCGGAGAGCUUGCUCGAAGAUGGUGAGAGUGGCGCACGGGUGCGUAACGCGUGAGCAACCUACCUCUAUCAGGGGGAUAGCCUCUCGAAAGAGAGAUUAACACCGCAUAACAUCAACAGUUCGCAUGUUCGGUUGAUUAAAUAUUUAUAGGAUAGAGAUGGGCUCGCGUGACAUUAGCUAGUUGGUAGGGUAACGGCUUACCAAGGCGACGAUGUCUAGGGGCUCUGAGAGGAGAAUCCCCCACACUGGUACUGAGACACGGACCAGACUCCUACGGGAGGCAGCAGUAAGGAAUAUUGGUCAAUGGGCGGAAGCCUGAACCAGCCAUGCCGCGUGCAGGAUGACUGCCCUAUGGGUUGUAAACUGCUUUUGUCCAGGAAUAAACCUCUUUACGAGUAGAGAGCUGAAUGUACUGGAAGAAUAAGGAUCGGCUAACUCCGUG